rnacentral:rRNA from 1 species
AUUGAACGCUGGCGGCAGGCCUAACACAUGCAAGUCGAACGGUAGCACAGAGAGCUUGCUCUCGGGUGACGAGCGGCGGACGGGUGAGUAACGUCUUGGAAACUGCCCGAUGGAGGGGGAUAACUACUGGAAACGGUAGCUAAUACCGGAUAACGUCGCAAGACCAAAGUGGGGGACCUUCGGGCCUGACACCAUCGGACAUGUCCAGAUGGGAUUAGAUAGUAGGUGGGGUAAUGGCUCACCUAGGCGACGAUCCCUAGCUGGUCUGAGAGGAUGACCAGCCACACUGGAACUGAGACACGGUCCAGACUCCUACGGGAGGCAGCAGUGGGGAAUAUUGCACAAUGGGCGCAAGCCUGAUGCAGCCAUGCCGCGUGUAUGAAGAAGGCCUUCGGGUUGUAAAGUACUUUCAGCGGGGAGGAAGGCGAUAAGGUUAAUAACCUUGUCGAUUGACGUUACCCGCAGAAGAAGCACCGGCUAACUCCGUGCCAGCCGCCGCGGUAA